ACAGAGCAUUGGCAGAUUGAAGGAUCUGUACUUAGGCAACCAACAUCGUAGUUGUCUAAAAAGCUUCUAGUCAAUUCUUUUUAGAAAUAUGCAUGUGUAAAGGUACGGUUCAUUGGAGGGGAUGGACCUAAACGCGUCAGGCUGGAAGAGAUGAGGGAAAACACACUUCCAAGAUCGAGUGGAAAUGCUGAGUGCCGUACCAUAUGCCUUCUGGCCGUAUGUUCUUAAGCAGUACUCUUUUACUCGUCGAGCAGUUCUUUGACAGAUGCAUUCUGCAUAGCCAUAUUAGAGGCUGCUAGUUGUGGAUUAUUGACAUUCAGGACACGCGUAGGAGAGGUUCCUUCUUCAUCUAGCUAACACGAUAUCAUAUAGUCGUUGCUUUUUGUACAUGUUGCUAGAGACAUGUUCACGGGAUUGAGCUCUGGUAAUCCUAAAUCCUACAGGCAGCUAAUUUGUUACUUCUCGUGAUAUUAUUAGGUUCUACCAGACGACAAGAUCUUACUUGUAGAACCAGAUCCUAGUGAUAUGGUAAGAUCAAAUGGAAAGGCAAUAUCUCUACUUCCGAAUAUUGACCCGCAACUGACGCAUAAUCGUGUGAGCGAGCCAUUCAUGUAAGUUUAGUCUUCCUGAGAAUUUUAUAGCAACUAUUCAUAGAAGCUCAAUCUUUGCGCUGCAUCAGAAACUCUACGAUUGGCAUGAUGCUGCAAAAUGAGCAGAUAUUGUGUCUGACCGUGCUUUGAAAUGCCCUGAUUAGAAUUCCUUAGAACGACUCUCACGGUAUGCAACUGAUCAGAUCGGAUACAUAAGAUCCAAACUCAGUUUUUUUUUUUUUUUGGACUUUUUGCUGUAUAAUUGCACAUAAACUGAUGCGAUUUACUGUGAAGUUGUAGACUGGUGAGUGCCUAAACAAAGACAGUUGAUGGAGGCUUCGUUAGGCUAUCAGAAUGUUCAUCAGCAUCUUCAGCAGAAAAUCCAGUAGCAUGUGCACCAAUUAUUCACACCAUCCAUACUGUUACUAAUUCGAAAAAAUCCUGCUAGUCACUUGAUUGUUUCCUUAUUUCCCUCAUUAUACCCUGACAGUUUAACUGAACCACACCGCUAAGUAAGCCAAUCCAAAGGAUAUCUCGUCUUUUUCUUUCUGUCGCUUCAGUUUUCACAGGCUUUCUUAACAUUGGUGACAACUGUUUAUUAGAUGCUUCUCUUGUGGUACCUGGGCAGGCAAGAAUUUCUGCUUCGUUAGGAUAAUUUUUUUUUUUUUUGCUAUGGCGUCAACUGCAAUUAUGGCAGGGACCACCAGUUCCUACAUAUAUCGAGUCUUGACCUUGCAGACAAAUUCUGCUAUAAUGCUAUCCACAUAAUAUUCAACCUUUAAUUAUUUUCUCUCUUUGUUUUUUUCUUUUUCUUUUUUGAUAUUUCUUCAGCCAAUGGAGGAUAUCAAGGAGGUGCCUGAAUUUACAUUUCCCCGUCAUCACUAUGAAGACACGAUCUCAAAUUUCAAAGAGGACCAAAGCUUGGAUAACAUUUAAGUUAUAGAGUCCUCUUGGUUCAUCAGGAUGCCUAUUGGAUUCCCUUCCAUCCAUGAUUUCUCUCAUCCUUAAUGUGAAAGAUGAAUUUUUGAUAUCUAUGGGAAUGAAUUUUGAACUCUAUAAUGUAUAUGCAUGUAGAAAGAUAUAAUUAUUCUUUAAAUCUCUUGAAUUA